AUCAUCUAGUCAUCAUAGAGGUUAAGGAGAGGGGUAAACAGCUGGGAAUCAUCUAGUCAUCAUAGAGGUUAAGGAGAGGGGUAAACAGCUGGGAAUCAUCUAGUCAUCUAGUCAUCAUAGAGGUUAAGGAGAGGGGCAAACAGCUGGGAAUCAUCUAGUCAUCAUAGAGGUUAAGGAGAGGGGCAAACAGCUGGGAAUCAUCUAAUCAUCAUAGAGGUUAAGGAGAGGGGUAAACAGCUGGGAAUCAUCUAGUCAUCAUAGAGGUUAAGGAGAGGGGUAAACAGCUGGGAAUCAUCUAAUCAUCAUAGAGGUUAAGGAGAGGGGUAAACAGCUGGGAAUCAUCUAGUCAUCAUAGUGCUUAAGGAGAGGGGUAAACAGCUGGGAAUCAUCUAGUGAUCAUAGAGGUUAAGGAGAGGGGAAAACAGCUGGGAAUCAUCUAGUCAUCUAGUCAUCAUAGAGGUUAAGGAGAGGGGCAAACAGCUGGGAAUCAUCUAGUCAUCAUAGUGCUUAAGGAGAGGGGUAAACAGCUGGGAAUCAUCUAGUGAUCAUAGAGGUUAAGGAGAGGGGAAAACAGCUGGGAAUCAUCUAGUCAUCUAGUCAUCAUAGAGGUUAAGGAGAGGGGCAAACAGCUGG